rnacentral:rRNA from 1 species
GACGAACGCUGGCGGCGUGCUUAACACAUGCAAGUCGAACGGAAAGGCCCUGCUUUUGUGGGGUGCUCGAGUGGCGAACGGGUGAGUAACACGUGAGUAACCUGCCCUUGACUUUGGGAUAACUUCAGGAAACUGGGGCUAAUACCGGAUAGGAGCUCCUGCUGCAUGGUGGGGGUUGGAAAGUUUCGGCGGUUGGGGAUGGACUCGCGGCUUAUCAGCUUGUUGGUGGGGUAGUGGCUUACCAAGGCUUUGACGGGUAGCCGGCCUGAGAGGGUGACCGGCCACAUUGGGACUGAGAUACGGCCCAGACUCCUACGGGAGGCAGCAGUGGGGAAUAUUGCACAAUGGGCGGAAGCCUGAUGCAGCAACGCCGCGUGCGGGAUGACGGCCUUCGGGUUGUAAACCGCUUUCGCCUGUGACGAAGCGUGAGUGACGGUAAUGGGUAAGAAGCACCGGCUAACUACGUGCCAGCAGCCGCGGUGAUACGUAGGGUGCGAGCGUUGUCCGGAUUUAUUGGGCGUAAAGGGCUCGUAGGUGGUUGAUCGCGUCGGAAGUGUAAUCUUGGGGCUUAACCCUGAGCGUGCUUUCGAUACGGGUUGACUUGAGGAAGGUAGGGGAGAAUGGAAUUCCUGGUGGAGCGGUGGAAUGCGCAGAUAUCAGGAGGAACACCAGUGGCGAAGGCGGUUCUCUGGGCCUUUCCUGACGCUGAGGAGCGAAAGCGUGGGGAGCGAACAGGCUUAGAUACCCUGGUAGUCCACGCUGUAAACGGUGGGUACUAGGUGUGGGGUCCAUUCCACGGGUUCCGUGCCGUAGCUAACGCUUUAAGUACCCCGCCUGGGGAGUACGGCCGCAAGGCCAAAACUCAAAGGAAUUGACGGGGCCCCGCACAAGCGGCGGAGCAUGCGGAUUAAUUCGAUGCAACGCGUAGAACCUUACCUGGGUUUGACAUGGAUCGGGAGUGCUCAGAGAUGGGUGUGCCUCUUUUGGGGUCGGUUCACAGGUGGUGCAUGGCUGUCGUCAGCUCGUGUCGUGAGAUGUUGGGUUAAGUCCCGCAACGAGCGCAACCCUUGUUCACUGUUGCCAGCACGUUAUGGUGGGGACUCAGUGGAGACCGCCGGGGUCAACUCGGAGGAAGGUGGGGAUGACGUCAAGUCAUCAUGCCCCUUAUGUCCAGGGCUUCACGCAUGCUACAAUGGCUGGUACAGAGAGUGGCGAGCCUGUGAGGGUGAGCGAAUCUCGGAAAGCCGGUCUCAGUUCGGAUUGGGGUCUGCAACUCGACCUCAUGAAGUCGGAGUCGCUAGUAAUCGCAGAUCAGCAACGCUGCGGUGAAUACGUUCCCGGGGCU